CCCUGGACCUCCAACAGCCCAAGAUGAUUCUCUGUGCAGCAGCCUCAGCAGCCACCUGAGAUGCAACACAAUGUCCCUGGUCAGCACGGGCGGCCACCCUACUCCACAGUGAUCCAGCCCAGAGCCCCUCAGUGCAGUGAUGAAGACCCGGGCUGCAGAGGCUGGGCUGUGGCACACAGCUGUCUUCAGGAGGACGAGCAAUCUAACAUACCAAGGCCUCUGACAUCAGAGGAGAAGCUAUUUUUUUCAUUGGAAAAAUAUUUCAGAUGAUAUGAAUCAUACACAGUAAAGUUGAAAACAGACCAAAGUGGGUUUUGCUGUUGCCAAAACCCACUUCUACAGGGCCUGGCCAGAGGAUUUCCAUCCCUGAGCACUGGACCAGGAAUGUUCCCAGCACAGGGACUCUGGCAGGGAGAAUCUGUGUCUGUAUGGUCCCCUGUACGUGCUGAGGAGAUUGGCCAGCAGUGGGCUGCCUUCAGGUGUCCAUCCCAGGGAAGGCAGUGCUUGCAGCAACUGCCUGGCCUGGUUCCAUCUGAGGCAUCAGUGGUUCCCGUGAACACGAGCAGAACCUGGAGCUGUCAUCCACGUGUGGCCCAUGACAGUGGCAGCUUUGUGAUACCCUGUGCCAUGUCCAGUCUCCACAUUGGUAAGUGUAUGUCUGAGCAGCAGGUCAGCCUGGGGCAGGGACCAUGGUUCCCAGGGCCCCUCCAGAAGUGCUUUCAGAGCAGUGCUUGCAUUUGUUAGACCCUCUGAGUGGGGGGAGUCACAGUCCUGGUCCCAGAGAUCCUGGAAGUCUGCCUAAACUCCUGAGACUCAGCUUUCUCACCUGUAAAAUGGGAGUGUGGUUCCCACCUUUUGGGGGUAGGGGAAGAAUGAAGGAAAUCACAUUGUAAAUGACUAGUGUAGUAGAGGAACUUGGUGAUGUCAUCAUGAUGUGCUUUUCAGGGGGCAUUGAAAUGUGAUGG